rnacentral:rRNA from 1 species
CAGUAGCGUAUAUUAAAGUUGUUGCGGUUAAAAAGCUCGUAGUUGGAUUUCUGCCGAGGACGACCGGUCCGCCCUCUGGGUGAGCAUCUGGGACGGCCUGGGCAUCUUCUUGGGGAACGUAGCUGCACUUGACUGUGUGGUGCGGUAUCCAGGACUUUUACUUUGAGGAAAUUAGAGUGUUUCAAGCAGGCGCACGCCUUGAAUACAUUAGCAUGGAAUAAUAAGAUAGGACCUCGGUUCUAUUUUGUUGGUUUUCGGUAAAUACGAGUUAAUGAUUAACAGGGACGAAUUAGGGGGCGAUUAGUAUUCAGACGACAGAGGUGGAAAUUACUUGGACCGUCUGAAGACUGACUACUGCGAAGACAUUUGUCCAAGAGUGUUUUCUAUUAAUCAAGAACGAAAGUUAGAGGUUCGAAGACGAUCAGAUACCGU